rnacentral:rRNA from 1 species
GAACGCUGGCGGCGUGCUUAACACAUGCAAGUCGAACGAUGAACCACUUCGGUGGGGAUUAGUGGCGAACGGGUGAGUAACACGUGGGCAAUCUGCCCUUCACUCUGGGACAAGCCCUGGAAACGGGGUCUAAUACCGGAUAUGAGCUUCCUGGGCAUCGUGGAGGGUGUAAAGCUCCGGCGGUGAAGGAUGAGCCCGCGGCCUAUCAGCUUGUUGGUGAGGUAAUGGCUCACCAAGGCGACGACGGGUAGCCGGCCUGAGAGGGCGACCGGCCACACUGGGACUGAGACACGGCCCAGACUCCUACGGGAGGCAGCAGUGGGGAAUAUUGCACAAUGGGCGAAAGCCUGAUGCAGCGACGCCGCGUGAGGGAUGACGGCCUUCGGGUUGUAAACCUCUUUCAGCAGGGAAGAAGCGAAAGUGACGGUACCUGCAGAAGAAGCGCCGGCUAACUACGUGCCAGCAGCCGCGGUAAUACGUAGGGCGCAAGCGUUGUCCGGAAUUAUUGGGCGUAAAGAGCUCGUAGGCGG